CUACGGGCGGCAGCAGUGAGGAAUAUUGCACAAUGGGGGGAACCCUGAUGCAGCAACGCCGCGUGGAGGAUGACGCAUUUCGGUGUGUAAACUCCUUUUAUAUGUCAAGAAAAUGACGGUAGCAUAUGAAUAAGCACCGGCUAACUCCGUGCCAGCAGCCGCGGUAAUACGGAGGGGGCAAGCGUUACUCGGAAUCACUGGGCGUAAAGGACGCGUAGGCGGGUUGGAAAGUCAGGUGUGAAAUCCUACAGCUUAACUGUAGAACUGCACUUGAAACUUCUAAUCUAGAGUAUGGGAGGGGGAGAUGGAAUUAGUGGUGUAGGGGUAAAAUCCGUAGAUAUCACUAGGAAUACCUAAAGCGAAGGCGAUCUCCUGGAACAUUACUGACGCUAAGGCGUGAAAGCGUGGGGAGCAGACAGGAUUAGAUACCCGGGUAGUC
rnacentral:rRNA from 1 species